UUCUCUGGGGCAUUUAACUGACGGUUGAGGAGCGAAAGCAUGGGGGAGGCGAACAGGGAUUUAGGUUACCCUGGUAAGUCCAUGCCCGUAAACGUUGGGGCACUAGGAGUGGGAGGACAUUCCAACGUUUUCCGCGCCGUAGCUAACGCAUUAAAGUGCCCCGCCUGGGGAGUACGGCCGCAAGGCUAAAACUCAAAGGAAUUGACGGGGGGCCCGCACAAGCGGCGGAGCAUGCGGAUUAAUUCGAUGCAACGCGAAGAACCUUACCAAGGCUUGACAUGAACCGGACCGCUGCAGAAAUGUGGUUUCCCCUUUGGGGCUGGUUUACAGGUGGUGCAUGGUUGUCGUCAGCUCGUGUCGUGAGAUGUUGGGUUAAGUCCCGCAACGAGCGCAACCCUCGUUCUAUGUUGCCAGCACGUGAUGGUGGGGACUCAUAGGAGACUGCCGGGGUCAACUCGGAGGAAGGUGGGGACGACGUCAAAUCAUCAUGCCCCUUAUGUCUUGGGCUUCACGCAUGCUACAAUGGCCGGUACAAAGGGUUGCGAUACUGUGAGGUGGAGCUAAUCCCAAAAAGCCGGUCUCAGUUCGGAUUGGGGUCUGCAACUCGACCCCAUGAAGUCGGAGUCGCUAGUAAUCGCAGAUCAGCAACGCUGCGGUGAAUACGUUCCCGGGCCUUGUACACACCGCCCGUCAAGUCACGAAAGUUGGUAACACCCGAAGCCGGUGGCCU
rnacentral:rRNA from 1 species